CGGGGCGCAGCAGCAGUGGGGAAUAUUGCACAAUGGGGGAAACCCUGAUGCAGCAACGCCGCGUGGAGGAUGACGCAUUUCGGUGUGUAAACUCCUUUUAUAUAGGAAGAUAAUGACGGUACUAUAUGAAUAAGCACCGGCUAACUCCGUGCCAGCAGCCGCGGUAAUACGGAGGGUGCAAGCGUUACUCGGAAUCACUGGGCGUAAAGCGCGCGCAGGCGGCCUUUUAAGGUGGAUGUGAAAGCCUAUGGCUUAACCAUAGAACUGCAUCCAAAACUAUCAGGCUAGAGUCUGGGAGGGGAAGAUGGAAUUAGUUGUGUAGGGGUAAAAUCCGUAGAGAUAACUAGGAAUACCAAAAGCGAAGGCGAUCUUCUGGAACAGUACUGACGCCGAGGCGCGAAAGCGUGGGAGCAAACAGGAUUAGAUACCCUAGUAGUC
rnacentral:rRNA from 1 species